rnacentral:rRNA from 1 species
UACGGGGGGGUGCGAGCGUUGUCCGGAAUCACUGGGCGUAAAGGGCGCGUAGGUGGUUUGAUAAGGGUGUGGUGAAAGCCCGGGGCUCAACCCCGGGUCUGCCGUGCCGACUGUUAAACUCGAGGGCUGUAGAGGCAGACGGAAUUCCGGGUGUAGCGGUGGAAUGCGUAGAUAUCAGGAGGAACACCGGUGGCGAAGGCGGGUCUCUGGGCCGAUACUGACGCUGAGGAGCGAAAGCGUGGGGAGCGAACAGG